GACAGGGAACCUCCCUGACCGAGCCCACGUCUCCCCACGGCCAGAGAAAUCUCCGGCCCGGCCCGCGUCGCCAGCCGCCAGGCCCGGAGGAACGGCCCGAGCCCAGGAGAACCACAUCUUCGUCCCAGCCCCGGAGGCUCCUGUGGGCAAGAUCGUGAGCCAACGGGUUCCUGAGGCCCCUCCUGGCCAGGCAGGGUUUCCCCGCGCGUUUCCGAGGAGCCCUGCCUGGCCGGGCGGCUGGACAAACAGGUCGUAGCACCGAUCGCGCCCGCCCCCAGCAGGGGUCCCGCACAGGCUUGCCCCUGACCCCCACCCAAACCUGUUCUUCCGCUUUCCCCCCAAACAGUGCACUUGCCGGCGGUCCCAACCCAGCAGGAGAAGUGGACAUGAGGUUGGCAGGUCCAGAGAGCUCAGUGACUGCAGCGCCACGGGCCAGGAAGUACAAGUGUGGCCUGCCCCAGCCGUGUCCUGAGGAGCACCUGGCCUUCCGUGUGGUCAGCGGGGCCGCCAACGUCAUUGGGCCCAAGAUCUGCCUCGAGGACAAGAUGUGAGCUCCCUGGGGUGAAUG
rnacentral:sRNA from 1 species